AUUGAACGCUGGCGGCAGGCCUAACACAUGCAAGUCGAGCGGAUGAAGGGAGCUUGCUCCUGGAUUCAGCGGCGGACGGGUGAGUAAUGCCUAGGAAUCUGCCUGGUAGUGGGGGAUAACGUCCGGAAACGGGCGCUAAUACCGCAUACGUCCUGAGGGAGAAAGUGGGGGAUCUUCGGACCUCACGCUAUCACAUGAGCCUAGGUCGGAUUAGCUAGUAGGUGGGGUAAAGGCCUACCAAGGCGACGAUCCGUAACUGGUCUGAGAGGAUGAUCAGACACACUGGAACUGAGACACGGUCCAGACUCCUACGGGAGGCAGCAGUGGGGAAUAUUGGACAAUGGGCGAAGGCCUGAUCCAGCCAUGCCGCGUGUGUGAAGAAGGUCUUCGGAUUGUAAAGCACUUUAAGUUGGGAGGAAGGGCAGUAAGUUAAUACCUUGCUGUUUUGACGUUACCAACAGAAUAAGCACCGGCUAACUUCGUG
rnacentral:rRNA from 1 species